UACGGAGGGUGCGAGCGUUAAUCGGAAUUACUGGGCGUAAAGCGCACGUAGGCGGAGAUUUAAGCGUGGCCUGAAAGCCCCCGGCUCAACCGGGGAGUGCGGCUGCGAACUGGGUUUCUUGAGGACGAUAGAGGAGAGUGGAAUUCCUGGUGUAGCGGUGAAAUGCGUAGAUAUCAGGAGGAACACCCGAGGCGAAGGCGGCUCUCUGGGUCGUACCUGACGCUGAGGCGCGAAAGCGUGGGGAGCGAACGGG
rnacentral:rRNA from 1 species